CACGGGGGGAGCAAGCGUUGUUCGGAAUCACUGGGCGUAAAGGGCGUGUAGGCGGUCAGGUAAGUGGGAUGUGAAAUGCCCCGGCUCACCCGGGGACUGGCAUCUCAUACUGCUUGGCUUGAGUACGGGAGAGGAUGUGGGAAUUCCAGGUGUAGCGGUGAAAUGCGUAGAUAUCUGGAGGAACACCAAUGGCGAAGGCAGCUCGCUAGGACGUGACUGACGCUGAGACGCGAAAGCGUGGGGAGCAAACAGG
rnacentral:rRNA from 1 species